rnacentral:rRNA from 1 species
UACAGAGGUCCCGAGCGUUGUUCGGAUUCACUGGGCGUAAAGGGUGCGUAGGCGGCGCGGUAAGUCGGGUGUGAAAUCUUGGAGCUUAACUCCGAAACUGCAUUCGAUACUGCCGUGCUUGAGGACUGGAGAGGAGACUGGAAUUUACGGUGUAGCGGUGAAAUGCGUAGAUAUCGUAAGGAAGACCAGUGGCGAAGGCGGGUCUCUGGACAGUUCCUGACGCUGAGGCACGAAGGCCAGGGGGAGCAAAACGGG